rnacentral:tRNA from 1 species
UAAAAUUUCUCAUUAUUUAAUCUAUCAAAUUAACCCUUUUUAUCAGGCAUAUUUU